AUGGAUCAUUCUGAGGCUUCUUCUGAAAUUGACAGUCACUUAAAUCAAAAUCCUGAGGCUUCUUCUGAAAUUUCUUUAAAUGAUGUUGUUGGAAAUCUAUUUGAAAAAGAGCACCAUGGUCGUGUUCGAGCAAUGGGCAUGGGAUGGGUUUUUACUACUGCUUUUAAAAAAACCACUACACGACUUAAUGGUAUGGAGUUUGGUUCUUCAAGUGGUAUACUUCAAAUGGUAGUUCUUCAUUGGUGGAAUGGCGCCUAG